CAGUCGCCGCGGUAAUACGAAGGGGGCUAGCGUUGCUCGGAAUUACUGGGCGUAAAGGGAGCGUAGGCGGACAUUUAAGUCAGGGGUGAAAUCCCAGAGCUCAACUCUGGAACUGCCUUUGAUACUGGGUGUCUUGAGUGUGAUAGAGGUAUGUGGAACUCCGAGUGUAGAGGUGAAAUUCGUAGAUAUUCGGAAGAACACCAGUGGCGGAGGCGACAUACUGGAUCAUUACUGACGCUGAGGCUCGAAAGCGUGGGGAGCAAACAGGAUUAGAUACCCGGGUAGUCCCUGUCUCUUAUAC
rnacentral:rRNA from 1 species